CCUACGGGUGGCAGCAGUGAGGAAUAUUGGUCAAUGGACGAGAGUCUGAACCAGCCAAGUAGCGUGAAGGAUGACUGCCCUAUGGGUUGUAAACUUCUUUUAUAUGGGAAUAAAAUGUUCCACGUGUGGGAUUUUGUAUGUACCAUAUGAAUAAGGAUCGGCUAACUCCGUGCCAGCAGCCGCGGUAAUACGGAGGAUCCGAGCGUGAUCCGGAUUUAUUGGGGUUAAAGGGAGGGGAGGUGGAUUGUUAAGGCAGUUGUGAAAGUUUGCGGCUCAACCGGAAAAGUGCAGGUGAAACUGGCAGUCUUGAGUACAGUAGAGGUGGGCGGAAUGCGUGGUGUAGCGGUGAAAUGCUUAGAUAUCACGAAGAACUCCGAUUGCGAAGGCAGUUCACUGGACUGCAACUGACACUGAGGCUCGAAAGUGUGGGUAUCAAACAGGAUUAGAUACCCGUGUAGUC
rnacentral:rRNA from 1 species